rnacentral:rRNA from 1 species
UACGGAGGGGGCUAGCGUUGUUCGGAAUUACUGGGCGUAAAGCGCACGUAGGCGGCUUGGUAAGUUAGAGGUGAAAGCCUGGAGCUCAACUCCAGAAUUGCCUUUAAGACUGCCGAGCUAGCAGGUGAGAGAGGUGAGUGGAAUUCCGAGUGUAGAGGUGAAAUUCGUAGAUAUUCGGAAGAACACCAGUGGCGAAGGCGGCUCACUGGCUCAUACUGGACGCUGAGGUGCGGAAGCGUGGGGAGCAAACAGG